UAUACCUAUGAGACAAAAUAGAAACAGAGUGUCAAUAAAACAUAGUACUGUACUUUGUGUAUCUAGGUGCUAAACCUAAACGUGGAAAUUUUAAUUGUUGUAUUUUCAUAUUGUGUCACUUUUAUUUUGCAUGCUUGAGAGAACAAACAUUGUGACUCGGCCUCUCCCUUCAGCGAGCCCAAACCUGUCUCUCCCUCCGUGCCUGUAGGUCAUUAAGAUUGUGAAUCUCUGAGUUUGCAAAGCUGUCUGAGCAUGCAAUCAUCACUCGUUCUUUCUCUGUUCCCGACCGCAGGAACUCUACACCAGAGGGGGAGGUUUGGGAUCCCAUCAGAUAAGAUCUCUAUUGCAGAUGUAUGUGGAGACAUUGAGUCAAGCGGCUGUCAGCUAGAGGAAGGCGGUCAUGAGUGAUCAUCUCCGGUCACAUUCAUUGCCUCCGAAACACCAUGGAUGGCUUAAUCAGCAGAAUUUGAAAGCGGGAAUUCAUCGCUCAUUACUAUCAGCAGUUAGCAGUGGGAGGUAAAUGAUCCCGUUUCCAGGGUCCAGGAUCAAUCCGUCCAUCUGUGCUCCUCUACUUGAGGUGUUUGAUGUAAUUUCUGUGUCCUAAAUCAGAACCAACUUUUCAAGCCACUGUUCUACACAAUUAUAUGGGUGUUUAACAGAACAGAAGGGCUUCAAAAUGACAGUGGAUGAAAUGUGCUGGAAAUGAAGUAAAACAAAACCCACGACCAUACUGUAAUCUGCGAGUAACUGAGUGAGGGACCCAGAUGGUGGGCAACUCCAGGUCAUGUGUGCUGUCUGUCUAGACACAGAUGAGAUGUGGUACCUUCACCUCUGUCACUCUGAUGUCCACCCAUCAUGUUCAGUGAAUCAGCGGCAGCUGGAAAACAUAUCAGGGUGACAUCGCUAAAUAUCUCCAGAAUCCAGAAUGACCCGUGUGCUCUGGCAGGUCUCGUGAUUAAAGGGUUUGACACAGCUGUGGAUGGAUGCAGAAAGGCUGACCGGGACCCCAGCUCCUCACUCCUUAUCUCUGACAUCCUGUUGGUCAGCGGACGCCUGGGGGCAAUUGAUCCAUGAACUCUGCUCUUCCCAACAGGAUAACCCUCUUUAUUUGGCAGGGGUUCGGCCCACCUGACAGAUUUUUAAAGGUUAAUGCCGGAACUACACAGCCCAGGUAACAAAGGUGAAGUCAGUUGACGGGGAGAGGCCGCCUGGACAAACUGCCUGGAUUUACUAUGGUCUGCUUUUGUUGGAUGGGCUUUAUCCUGUUUUGUUGAUUUGGAGUGAGUCCAAACAACCAAGAAGAUAAAUGUUUAUUGGGUUAUUUAAAAGCAAUUAAAUUAAGGUACAGUGUAGAGGUCCUUUCUUAAAAUGCAGUUAUGUGUUUCUACAACUUUGAGUGUAUUU